GAUGAACGCUGGCGGCGUGCCUAAUACAUGCAAGUCGAGGGAAAGGACGAGUAUCUUACUACACUGACUUUAGCGGCGGACGGGUGUGUAGCACACGGAUAACCUAUAUCUUAGACUGGGAUAAAUUCGGGGAACCGGCGCUAAUACCGGAUAAUAUAUUGAACAGCAUGGUUACUUAGUGAAAGACGGUCUUGCUGUCACUUAUAGAUGGACCCGCGCUGCAUUAGCUAGUUGGUAAGUUAACGGCUCAACACGCCAACGAUGCGUAGCCGACCUGAUAGGGUGAUCGGCCCCACUGCAACGGAGACACGGUCCAGACUCCUAUGCUACGCGGCAGUGGGGUAUGUUCCAUUAUGGGCUAGAGCCUGACGUGGCAACGCCGCGUGGGUUAUGAAGUGCUUCCGAUCUUAAAUCUCUGCUAUUUGGGAAGAACACGUGUGUAAUUAACUCUUCCCCUCUUGACGGUACCUAAGCAGAAAGCCCCGGCUAACUACGUG
rnacentral:rRNA from 1 species